CUCUCUCUCUCUCUCUCUCUCUCUCUCUCUCUCUCUCUCUCUCUCUCUCUUUCUCUCUUUCUCUCUCUUCCGUGCAAUCCUAGUUGAAAUGGAAUGUUACAUAGAGAAGUCAACGAAUUUGAAGCCGGUAAACGAGACCCAGAGGCACGGUAAAACUAGAUACAUUGCCGUGAGUGUAGUACUGCUAUUCCCAAUAGAACAUUACGUAUAAUGUGACGUGUAGGUGUAGGUUUAUGCGCAUGCACGCGCAACACUUCCGUCUUCACUUUGAACGGUGCAUACAAGAACAGCAACAGCAACAGCAGCAGCAACAAUAGUGCCGUUGAACAGUUAAAAUCCUUCGGAUCUUUUGCUAUGUUCGAACUUGAAACGAAUCACUUUUCAAUAUGACAUGGAUGGACAGGCAGAAAGGCCGAAUGAACGAGACGAGAUGAACAGUACUUUGGCGAAGGACACGAAGGACGCAAAGGAAAAAAAAAAAGAAGAAAAGAGAACGACACACAACUUUCCUUCUAUUCACUAAACCUCGUUACCCUUAUGAACUUCAUUUUCAUUUAAUUAUCAAAUUUAAUUUCGUCCUCGUUAUAGGUAAGUAACUCGAUCGAAAUUGCUGUAUCCGUCGAUCGUAUGCGUGAAAAGAGUGUUUUAAUGAGAAAGAAAGAGAUAGAAAGAGAAAGAGAGAGAGAGAGGGAGAGAGAAAGAGAGAGAGAGAGAGAGAGAAAUAGAUAAAAAGAUAAAGAUAGAGAGAUAAGAGAAAGAGAGAUAAAUAAAUAAGUAGAAUAAAAUGAUAGAGGGAAAGAGGCAUAGCGAGAAAUAGUGCAUAAUAGUGGAAAGGAUUUGCAUAGAGGAGUAAAUGAGAAUGCAUGGGGGUUCGUGCCUAGCGUAUACGUUUUCACGCUACCUUUUUAAAAAGCUUCAGUCAGACAUAGAAUUUAAAAGUGGAUAAUUCAUUUAAUUUACCAUUUCCCUUGUAUUUCUUUUCGUUCUCGAUUUCUCUCUCUCUCUCUCUCUCUCUCUCUCUCUCUCUCUAUUUAUUCAUAUCUAUUUCUAUCUCUAUUUCUAUCUCCUUUUUUUCUCAUUGGUAAUCUCCAAUACAUUUGUGAAUGACCAUAGACGUAUAUAAAAAUGAAUAUAGACCCGUAUGAAAUACGGUAAUUGCAACGAUUUCUUUUUUUUUUUUUUUUCUUUUUUUUCUUUUUUUCAUCUCACUGUAAAAUUCCACGGGGGGAAAAUUGAUGGUCUGUUCUUUAACGAGCCAUUUUUUUUUCUUCUUUUUUUUCGCCCCCCUUUUUUUUUAUUCUUCCCCCUCUCCCCCUCUACCCCCCGUCCCGCAACCCUAAAGAUAGAUAUCCAUGUGAUUUUCAACUGCUGGUAUUUUCAAAAUGAUUCGAGUUAUUUCUUUCUCUCUCUCUUUCUCUCUUUCUUUCUCCCUCUCUCUCUCUCUCUUUCUAUAUAUAUAGAUAUAUAUAUAUAUACCUCUAUCGUUCUCUCUCGUUCGAAUUGAUGUACCGAUUCUACUCGAUGAAAUUGAACCUUCGCGAAUCGUCUUAUCAAUUACUAUUGGUAAUGACGUGCAACGAGAAUCAGCUGUAUAGGAAAGAAGGGACGAGGAUUCUUUUCAAAUGCAUACCUUUUUCUCUCUUUCAUUCUUUCCUUCUUCUUUAUUCCUCCAUUCUUUUUUUUUUCUUUUUUUUUUUCAACUCUUAUUACACACACUUUUCCUGUUCUCUUUCGUCCUGUCUCUUCCUCUUCCUCCUCCUCCUCCUCCUCCUCCUCCACCUGCUCCUCCACCUCCAUUUCCACCUCCACCUCCACCUCCAUCUCCACCUCCGCCAUUUUAUUCCAGAGCCUCGUAUGGCUCCGUAAUAUUUCCCACUCACGUUUGGGAUAUGCAUGAACUUUAAAAAGUGGCGCCAUCGUGCUUACAGAAUAUUAAAGCCAUUCAUAUUUACCGGCCAGUAGAUAUCUAUCCGUAGGCGUACGCCACUUUUGUACUUUUCUUUCUUUCUUUCUUUCUUUCUCUCUUUUUUUUUUUUUUCUUUAAUUAUUUUAUCCCUGCUCUUCAUUCUCUCUAGGCACGUUAGCAAUACGCUUUAACGUUAAAAACUCCAUGGGGGUGUUCUUUGGUUUUCUUUUUUUUUUUUUAUUUUCUUUCUUGCCCUUAUCAGUCCUACGUACGUUACGUUAUACGUACGUAAUAUUUACGGACGUGGAUUUACGCGCAGACGGUUGGGAUAUAUUUGAAUCAGUCUUCAGGGCCCUAUAAGAUAAGAUAAGAGUCCCCAUAAGACAGGGUUCAAUAGUCACAAGACGAUAUCAAUUUAUCUUAUAUAUAUGUAAAAUAAAUCCAUCAUUUCUAAAUAUCUCUAAUGGUCGUUGAUGUAUAUCUUUUAUCAUUUUUAUAUCUUUAACGACUAUUCGCAAAUUUUGCUAUCGUUGGCGAUUCAAGUGGGGAAAAAAAAUAUAUAUAUCGUACGCGAUUGAUUUAUUUUAAUGGCGGGAUACAUACAUAUAAAAAAAAAAAAAGAAAAAAAAAAAAAAAGAAAAAGAAGAAAAAAGAAAAAAGAAAAAAGAAGAGGAAGAAAGAAAAAGAAAAAACAAAUUUCAAGCUCUUUGAAUCUCUUGAAAGUUAAAUCCGCCCCUAUGCUUCAUAGGUAUGUACAUACAUAUCUACGUGCAUACAUACAUAUGUACAUAUUUGCUCGAAGAUGGAACGUCGAGAUAGGAAAUAAUUUCAUUUCUUUUUAUAUUCCUUCGACAGAUUUUCAUCGAUCGAAGAAAAGAAGAGAGUUUUAAAGUAUCCUCGUUGUGUCCGCGCUAUAACGUCUACGUGAACGACGAACGAGAUAAGAAAGGAAUCUUUUUUUUCUUCUCUCUCCCACUCCCUCUCUUCCAUUCUCUUCCUCUCUCUCUCUCUCUCUCUCUCUCUCUCUCUCUCUCUCUCUCUCUUUCUCCUUUUUAUCAUUCUUCGGAAUCUCAUAAGACGUAAGACGAACGAUCGGAAAUUUUUCCAUAAAACGUACAAAUUUUUUUGCAAAAAUGGAGAUACUGUUAUAUACAUUUAAUAAGUCGGCGCGAUGAUUGCACUUUGCCUAACGUUAAAAAAAAAAGAAUAAAAAAACAUAAAAGAAAGAUGGAAGGAGGAAUAGAGAAAGAGAAAAAGGAAAAAAGGAAAAGAAAGAGAGAGAGAGAGAGAGAGAGAGAGAGAGAGUUUGUGAGAAAAGAGUCGAAGAUGCAUCGACGUAGAAAAAUCUGUCGUUUGACGUAAGGACGAAGGCAAAGUUGGCUUUCAUUGCUUUAAGAAUACGACGAAAGACGAUGAAACGAAUCACGGCUGUGUCUGAUGGAUCACCUUAAUCGCGUUCUCGAUCGUCGUCGGUCUGUAUAUAAAAUCGAUUGUCAGAGCGUGACUAAUGUGCCAGGCCAACCUUAUUUCUUGCUGUCACGACGCAUUAGAGGGUCUUGGACACUUUGAGUGCCUCUUUCAAAGUCCCUUGGGUUUACACACGAACUCACUUUGGCACAGCGUCCUUCUAUACUUUUGCUUCAUAUGUAUGUAUAUAUGUAUAUAUGUAUAUAUGUAUAUAUGUAUAUAUGUAUGUACGUAUGUAUGUAUUGUAUGUAUCUAUGUAUGUAUCUAUAUACGCGGACCAUAUACGUUCGCUUCCUUUUCUCAGUUUUACCUGCAAAAUCGCAUCCUCAACUAACUGCAUCCAAUCAUUCUGCUACGUUGAAAUUAUUUCAAAGGAUAGGCGACUGGCUAAAGGGGACUUUUACGGUGUCCCUUCCUUCAAUUUUCAAAUCACAAAUUUUUAUUUCUUCUUAGAAUUUCGUGAAAAUUCUUUUCCUAAACUUUUUCCUCCUUCUUCUUCUUCUUCUUCUUUUUCUUUUCCUUCUCCAUCUCCUUCUUCUUCUUCCUUUUUCCAUUCUCCUUUUUCUUUUUUCUUGUUUUUCUCUUUUUCAACAAAUCGAAUAAUACACGUUCGAAGUCUAUUGCCAAGUUAUCGGAAAUAUUUGAUAUAGUGAAAAAUUGAACCUUCGAAUACUAUCACGGGAUGCAUUGUCAAGUGAGAAUUUUUGAUUGGGACACUUGUGAAAAACUUGACGAUCGGUUAAUAGCGAUCUUUUUUCUUUUUCUCCCUCUUCUUUGAUUUUUGUUUUUUCUUUUUUUUUUAUUUAUUAAUUUUUUUUUUUUUUUUAUAGGGGAUGUCACGUAUUUCGUUCUUUUCCUUUCUUUGUUUUUGUUUUUUGUUUGUUUGUAUUCUUUUUUUUUUUAUGAACGAUUCGACGAAUCGUUUAACUCGAACAAUUUUUUUCAUUCCUUUUUAUAUCAUUGAAAGAGAGAGAGAGAGAGAGAGAGAGAGAGAGAGAGAGAGAGAGAGAGAGAGAGAGAGAGAGAGAGAGAGAGAGAGAAAAGAGAAGAGAGAAACAUUUUCAGUUUCGUUUAAAGUGGUACGCGUUCGUUCGAUAAGAAUUGCGAAUUUUCGAAUCAAUUGUACGGUAUCGCGUAUUUUAUAAAAUACGUAAAAAAAAAAGAAAAAACAAAAAAAAAAAAUAAUUGCAAAUAAAAAUAAAAAAAGAAGAAAAAUUUCCAAGUGCAAAAAAAAUCUCAUCUCAUAAUUCGAUUUGAAAAUGAUCAAAAUAUC